UUGAACAGGUAUUAAACAGGUGUUGAACAGGUAUUGAACAGGUAUUAAACAGGUAUUGAAGGAGUGUUGAACAGGUAUUAAACAGGUAUUGAAGGAGUGUU